rnacentral:rRNA from 1 species
UGAGGGAAUAUUUGGGGUCAAUGGACGUAAGUCUGAACCAGCCAAGUAGCGUGCAGGAUGACGGCCCUAUGGGUUGUAAACUGCUUUUAUGCGGGGAUAAAGUGUGGGACGUGUCCCAUAUUGUAGGCACCGCAUGAAUAAGGACCGGCUAAUUCCGUGCCAGCAGCCGCGGUAAUACGGAAGGUCCGGGCGUUAUCCGGAUUUAUUGGGUUUAAAGGGAGCGUAGGCCGUCGUUUAAGCGUGUUGUGAAAUGCCGCGGCUCAACCGUGGCACUGCAGCGCGAACUGGAUGACUUGAGUUCGCGGGAGGUAGGCGGAAUUCGUGGUGUAGCGGUGAAAUGCUUAGAUAUCACG